rnacentral:rRNA from 1 species
ACGGCUCAGUAACACGUGGAUAACCUGCCCAAGGGUCUGGGAUAACCCCGGGAAACUGGGGAUAAUACCGGAUGGAUCACUAGUGCUGGAAUGCUUGGUGGUCGAAAGGCAACGCCUUUGGAUGGGUCUGCGGCGGAUUAGGUUGACGCCGGUGUAACGUACCGGCGUGCCUGUAAUCCGUACGGGUUGUGGGAGCAAGAGCCCGGAGAUGGAUUCUGAGACACGAAUCCAGGCCCUACGGGGCGCAGCAGGCGCGAAAACUCUACAAUGCAGGCAACUGCGAUAGGGGGACAUCGAGUGGCAUCCACCUUGGGUGCCUGUCCAACCGUCUAAAAAACGGUUGUUAGCAAGGGCCGGGUAAGACCGGUGCCAGCCGCCGCGGUAAUACCGGCGGCUCGAGUGGUGGCCGAUAUUAUUGAGUCUAAAGGGUCCGUAGCCGGCUUUGCAAGUCCCCUGGGAAAUCCAGCGGCUUAACCGUUGGGCUUUCAUGGGAUACUACAUUGCUUGGGACUGGGAGAGGUAGGAGGUACUCGGGGGGUAGGGGUGAAAUCCUGUAAUCCUCCGGGGACCACCGGUGGCGAAGGCGUCCUACCAGAACAGGUCCGACGGUGAGGGACGAAAGCUAGGGGCACGAACCGGAUUAGAUACCCGGGUAGUCCUAGCCGUAAACGAUGCCCGCUAGGUGUCACGACGGUCGUGAAUCGUCGUGGUGCCGUAGGGGAGCCGCGAAGCGGGCCACUUGGGAAGUACGGCCGCAAGGCUGAAACUUAAAGGAAUUGGCGGGGGAGCAC